rnacentral:rRNA from 1 species
GACGAACGCUGGCGGCGGGCUUAACACAUGCAAGUCGAACGGAAGGGCCGUGCUUGCGUGGGGUGCCCGAGGGGCGAACGGGUGAGUAACACGUGAGUAACCUGGCCUUGACUUUGGGAUAACUUCAGGAAGGUGGGGCUAAUACAGGAUAGGAGCGGCUGCAGGAGGGUGGGGGUGGGAACGUUUCGGCGGUAUGGGAUGGACGCGCGGCUUACCAGCUUGUUGGUGGGGGAGUGGCUUACCAAGGCUUUGACGGGUAGCCGGCCUGGGAGGGUGACCGGCCACAUUGGGCCUGAGGUACGGCCCAGACUCCUACGGGAGACAGCGGUGGGGAGUAUGGCCCAAUGGGCGGAAGCCUGAGACAGCGACGCCGCGUGUGGGAUGACGGCCUUCGGGUUGUAAACCGCAGUCGCCUGUGACGAAGCGUGAGUGACGGUAAUGGGUAAAGAAGCACCGGCUAACUACGUG